rnacentral:rRNA from 1 species
GAUGAACGCUGGCGGCGUGCCUAAUACAUGCAAGUCGAGCGAACAGACGAGGAGCUUGCUCCUCUGACGUUAGCGGCGGACGGGUGAGUAACACGUGGAUAACCUACCUAUAAGACUGGGAUAACUUCGGGAAACCGGAGCUACUACCGGAUAAUAUAUUGAACCGCAUGGUUCAAUAGUGAAAGACGGUUUUGCUGUCACUUAUAGAUGGAUCCGCGCCGCAUUAGCUAGUUGGUAAGGUAACGGCUUACCAAGGCAACGAUGCGUAGCCGACCUGAGAGGGUGAUCGGCCACACUGGAACUGAGACACGGUCCAGACUCCUACGGGAGGCAGCAGUAGGGAAUCUUCCGCAAUGGGCGAAAGCCUGACGGAACAACGCCGCGUGAGUGAUGAAGGUCUUCGGAUCGUAAAACUCUGUUAUUAGGGAAGAACAAAUGUGUAAGUAACUAUGCACGUCUUGACGGUACCUAAUCAGAAAGCCACGGCUAACUACGUG